ACCUACUGUUUAAUUUUGAGGGUUCGUUUUUACGAAUACUCAAAAUUAGCACUUUAAGCAACGGGAUUUAUCCGUUGGCGCCGUGCUUUAGCACUUUUAGCAACAGAAUAAACUGAACGCAUGUGAAGUUUGUUUGUUGGCGCUGUGCGUUAGCACUUUAAGCAACGGAAUUUAUUCGUUGGCACCGUGCUUUAGCACUUUGAAAACUGCAUAUAUAUAUUUAGUGAUAUGACAUCUAAUUUGUAAUAUAUAAAGCUGAUAACUUUUUAAAAUUAUCGAAGUUGAUAGCUUCUAAUCUAUCAAACCUUUUUAACUGGUCAA
rnacentral:misc_RNA from 1 species